ensembl:lncRNA
ACUGACGGCCAGAACCUUGCAAUUAAAGGUCCGCCAAUAAACAUGCAAACUGGGAUAAAAUCACCGCUGCCCAGGUCCAAAGCCGGCCUCCAUGCGGUGCUCGCAUGUCGGAACCUUUGGGUUCGUGCACUCAGUGGACUUUCCAGGAUGGGUCGUUGUCAACACGAAACGCCCAUUAUGUAGUGUGAUGGCCAGUAUAUAGCCCCGUCCCGUCCACACAACACUGACCUCUCCGGGGCAUAGCCGGUCCCCUGUGUUAAAAAUGGGCAGCGGCGGUACUGAUCCAUUUACGUUGCAAAAAAGCUUUGUUAUAAAGCGGUGAAGUCCACAGUCUGGUAGCGAGGUUGUUAUUAUGUGUUGUAUGUAAGGGUUCGCUUGAUGCUAGCGUGGAUGGACGGGGACGUUAGCCUGAUGCUAGCGUGGCUCAGCACUGGUACCACUUGGUUGGCAGAAGGAUCAUUUCCCACGUGACCUGCAUUCAACGAAUCAUUUCUGUUUCCUUGGCUGAGCCUAUGCAAGUCCCGAUGCGUGGCCACGAGAAAAUGAACUAAUCUUUUUAUGAGAGGACUCGUUACUCUCGAGUCAUUGUAAGGAUUCGUUCAAAAUGAACGAAUCGUUCACGAACGACACAUCACUAAUUUAGAGGGUGCACCACACACGCGGAGCGGUCCGGAUAACUUUACUACAGCAGAGUAUUGAUGACUGCUAGCAGUUGCAAUUUUGGGGACAUUAGAGAUUCAUUGAUUAGAGACCGGCUUGUGUGCGGUACAAAUAGCUCAGCGCUGAGGGAGAGAUUACUCAGGGAAGAGAAGCUGACUCUUGAUACAUGCCUGCACAUCUGUAGAGCUACAGAGCUGCCUAGGGAGAAUUGCAGAACACUGAAAGGACAGACAGUGGAGGAGAUACAUGCACUAAAACAGACGGAAGGAAGGAAAGAAGACAAUGAGAUACUGUGCAAUUUUUGUGGUAGAACACACGAGAGGAAUAAGAAAAAAUGCCCAGCUUUUGAAAGAAAAUGUAAGAAGUGUGGAAAGGAAAAUCAUUUUGCUGCACAGUGCAGAUCAAGCUGAACGUGGACAAAUUCAAGCUUAGGCAGAAGGAGGUACCCUACAUAGGUCAUC